AAUCAACGCUGGCGGCGUGCCUCAGACAUGCAAGUCGAACGCGAAAGGUUCCUUCGGGAGCCGAGUAGAGUGGCGCUCGGGUGAGUAACACGUAGGUAAUUUGCCUUUGGGUGGGGAAUAACAAUCGGAAACGGUUGCUAAUACCGCAUAAUGCAGCGGCUCGACAUCGAGACAGUUGUUAAAGCGGGGGAGUCCUUCGGGACCUCGCGCCUAAAGAGAAGCCUGCGGCGGAUUAGCUAGUUGGUGAGGUAAUGGCUCACCAAGGCGACGAUCCGUAACCGGCCUGAGAGGGCGGACGGUCACACUGACACUUAAAUACGGGUCAGACUCCUACGGGAGGCAGCAGUCGGGAAUUUUGGGCAAUGGGCGAAAGCCUGACCCAGCAACGCCGCGUGAAGGAUGAAAUCCCUCGGGAUGUAAACUUCGCAAGAACGGGAAGAAUAAGCGAGAGUAAAUACCUCUCGUGAUGACGGUACCGUUUGUAAGCUCCGG
rnacentral:rRNA from 1 species